CGAGCAAUUCAAUAAGAAUUAUUUUCCGGAAGUUCAAGUGUCCGCGGUGAGAUCCUCUUGAAGGUCUCCUUGCGCGCCUGGCAAUUUAAUAGCGAAUAAUCAUACAAUUAACCCACUUAUCAAGAAAGAUUGUACACUAGUACAAUCUAAGAAUUAUUUUGCAAAAAGGAACCUCAAUUACACGUAAAUCGAGGUUCAACUUGCCUUUUAUUAGGUACAAUAUUAUUUGAGUUUUUAUCAUGAAAAUCGAGGGCAAAACGUUUGAAUAAUACUACGAGAAUUAAGAGUUUUGGAAAAACUCCUUUGCCUUGAAAUGUGAGAAUUUCAGUUUUAUCCUAAUCUUUGAAAAAUCGUAACUCGCUCGGUAUAAGUCGAGAAUUGGAAAACUUUAUACCGUUGGAAAACCUUAGAGAGUACUAUAAGUUCCUAGAAGACACUUUUCCAUGAAUCGAAGUGAAAAGUGGUCAAAAAUGGGCUUGAAGACGCAGGGUUGGUUUUCAUGGCAGAAUUAAGUUGGAUUUCGGCCAACUUUGGAAAUUCGGCACGAUUCACACGUUGCAAACCGGCCUCUGAAAUUUUCAGCUCAAUUAGUGUUGCAAGUGAAGUGUAUGACAAAACAAGCGGAUCAAGAAUCGGAGUUUCGAGCACCGAGAUACGGUAGCCCGAAGUUAAGCAAAUUCAAGACUGGAUGAGAAUUUUCCAGACUUGAACCUCUAACUUUAGUAAUUCAAUUGGGUGUCGCAACGAACUUGAAUUGGCACCAAAAUUGGCAGUAUUUCAAUACUAUCUGGAAAGUAUCCCUCUAUCGAAUUUCGGGGAAAAAUACCUUCGGCAAGGUAGUUAAUUAGCCACCAAAGUUCAAGAAAAAUCCUAAGGCAAUCUGCCAUUGACUUUCAUUUUCCAAAUUUCCAAUCGUUUAAUCAAGAAAGUUAUCCAACCAUGGUUCAUUUGUGAAAUAAGGGUCUAAGAUACAUCCAUAUUAUCUUUGGUAAGUGUUUAAUAUCAAAAACAUCAACUAACAAGUUCACUCCAAGAUUUGUUCCAAACCAGUCCAAACAUUAGGGUUUUCCAAAACAGAGCAGUCCACUUGUUUCAGUCACAAAUCAGUCAAUAUAGCUCGAAAUCGAGCAUGGCUUACGCCGUUGGAAAAUACAUUCAUAGGACUAAAAUAUCACAGAAGAAAUCAUUCCAAAUUCGGCACCCAACUGGUUCAAAUUCGGGCAUCAAGUUGCUGCCUGACCACUUCAUUCCAGACGAACAGAGCAACAGGACAGCGAACUUAAAACAUUUGGUUCGGCUUUCUCACAAAGAAUCAGAACGUGCAUUUUACCAAAUUAAAGCUAGGAAUGUCUAGUUUCAAACGCCACCGACGGCACAUGAUUUCGACAUCCGAGGACAGAGUUAUAGCCAAAAUACUACUGCUGGUCAGAGCAUACGCGAAUCAGUUUUUCCAGAUUUGCUGGUUUCUAAAAAAAAUUCAUUUGCCCAUUCAAACCUCAUUAUUUUUCAAUGAAAUUUUUCACACCUCUAAUACAUCAUAUAAGCAUCCAAUUCAAGCCAUUAGUUCAUUAAAAACUGGCCUUAAAAUGGCCGAAUAAAACAGGGGUAGAAUCGGAAGUUUUUACUUCUUACACCCAAUGAAGUUCCUACUAAUUACCCACCACUAAUGCAUCAUUAUAACCACUAAACCAACAAUAUAAUCACCAUCAAUCAUCACAUCAGCAACAACAACCCAAGUGUGGGAAUUCCAAGAGCCCACAAUCACAUUUUUACACCAUACAAAAGCUAACCAAAUGCAUGCAUGAACUUAACAAGGCAAGAUAGCUUCCAAUCUUCAAGUUUUCAAGGGUAGAUCAUCACUUACUUUGGGGUUGAUGUUCAAGCAGAAUUUCGGUCCUUUUUGCCCCAGAAAAACCGUGAGUUUUAGCUCUCUUUUGCAGCUCAAAAUGAUCCUCAAGUGUCAAGCUAGGUGUGGUGCAAGUUUGGUUAAAUUUGGAGGUGAUUUGGGGUGGUUUUGGGUGAGAUUAGUGUGCAGAAAUUUUAGAACAAGGAGUUAGAGAGAGGGAGUGUUUUGGCCGGCCAUGAGGAGAGAGAGGAGAGAGUGUGUUUGAUCUAAGUUAGCUUCC
rnacentral:lncRNA from 1 species